GACCGCCGCUGCCGAGGAGCGAGGAGACGCCUGGAGGCCGAGGGUCAGGCCGCCGCUACCUCCUCCAGCAGCGGACACUGCAGAGAUCGCGCAGCCGGCUGGCGCACCGGCCACCAACGGCGACCCUUCGCGCAGGUGGCAGUGUAGAAGCCAAGACGGGAGCUUCCAGAAGUACUUUCAGAAAAAUAAGAGUGAACCUCAGUACGCAAACACAGGGAUCUGAAAAACCACAGAUGGAGAAACUGAGUCCUAAAAGGUUGCAACAUCCUUGAAGUUAUGCAAAGAACUAAAAUAGCAUAUGGCUUAUCUAGGAGAUAAAGAUGGGAAUCGCUUCUGCUUGAUUGGCGCCCUCUUGAAGAGAAAUACUUUUGCUCAGCUUGGAAUGAAAUGCAGAUAACUCUUUAGAAAACUUUCAUAGGAAAAAAGCGCCUCGUGUGAUCUGGAACAAAGACAUUUUCUAAUCAGAUUUAUCAAGCUGUGAAGAGGGAGUUUUAGCGAACGGAAGCAGCAGCAUUCUGUCACCAGGAAAUACUGCUUUAUCCAGAAUUGAGCCCCACCCUGAAGGCUGCAUAUCAUCUAGCUGCUGGAAUGUGCAGCGUAAACCAUUGGGCUUAAUCAUUGGACAGAGUGCAGUGAAAGGACCCCAUGAAAGCUGAUCGUUUUAGCAAAACGUGAUUUUGUUAUGAUUUCACCAAGAUGGUCACACAUCAGCCUGGGAAGCUCAGUGAACCAGGGACCAGGUAUAAUGCUUCCCUUCUUCUCUCUGCCUCAGCUCUCAAGGAUUGGUCACCUGCAUGUUAUUAGUAUUAUUAUUUGAUUUCUAUUCCUAUUUACUAUCAGAAGGCAUAGCCUCUAUGGGCUUCAUCACUCUGCCCUGCUACAUCACCAUUCCUCCUCAUUUUGGCUUCUUGGCCACCUGCAGGAGCCCAGUUUCUUUUUGUUCUUUUUCCACAGCCCCGUAAUUUUUUUCAUUGACUUUCAAUCUCAGAAGAAUCUAUAUCUCUCUGCCCCAACAUCCCAUCCCAUCCCAUCAUUUGCUCCCUGAUGUGAAGUGUAAAGUGGGUUUUUUGUUUUUGUUUGUUUGCCACUAUUCACCAUCUCUUAUGAAACCAGAAGAAGAACAGCUUUUUUAUGGAAUGAAAAAGAACUUGAAAAGAUAAACCACCAGUUUUCAAGAGAAAAAGAAGAAAAGAAUGUUGGAAAUAGCUUCUGGAAAACUUUUUUCCAUUAUGUUCUGUUUGUCUGUUCCUGGUAAAUAAAUUUAAAUCUCUCAGUGUUAAAAAAAAAAAAAAAGAUCAAUCUAAACCAUUAAAUUCUCAAUAAUAAAAGAAUAUAAGUUUUAAAGGAGAUAUUAUAAACCCUUGGUUAGAUGAACUGGAGACUUUCAGUAAGAAAAUAUGAAUUUUAAAUGAAUACAAGUUAACAGAUUUAAAGCAGAAAAUGAAUAUAAGGAACAUGAAGAUAUAUGUCUGUAUGUAAUAGUUGAUUGUAAUGAUAUAAUGUAUUUUUUUCACCCUGUGCUGGAUCAGUAAAAAUAAAAUCAAUGACUUGAAGCUUUUAAAA